AAACACGUCUGCCCAUGAUGUUCUGGACCAAAUGGAGAAGAAAAAGAAAAUAAACAACUCAAAUCCAUGGAGACGUCAUCUGCCACUGAAAUACCCGAUUCCAGGCCUGGUGAGAAAGUACAAUUUCCAGACUUCAAGAACAUUGGAGCUAAAGAGAUUAUUUGAGAAAGCAGAAGGAGUACAUGAAGUCCAGCCCUCAGUCCUCUGUGACAUGACACAGCAGUACAGAACUGGCAGCAGGUGACAUGGAGUGAAACUCCUCUGGGCUGAGAUCUAAUCUGACGCUUCCCAACCCCGUGUCAGUCGUAACAGAAAUCCACAGAAAUAAACGUACAUUGCACAAUCACAGAUCUGCCAGAUGGUGGACGGAGAAGGGGAACAAUGGCAACCACAAGAGUCACCAGCCGCAAGUUUAUUUAACCCCAGCAAUGCCGGCAAGGUCCCCACUUUUCGGGUGGAUCAGGUGGACGACUAUAGUACAGCAGUCGGAAAUGUAAAAACUUUAGUUGAACUCCUAAUGAGUCAUUGCAUAAAAGACAGAGAUACAUAACUGAAGCCGUCAGAGCCGUAUGAAGGAGGACAUUGUGAGGCAGCACAGGAAGACGCGGCCAUGGCUUUUUCAGGGGAAUUCCCAGCGACGUCCAGGGCCAGGCUUCUUGUAAGCGGCAUCAUAUGACUAGGAGCCACUCCAAACACUUACUGUCACUGCAAUUAACUCUGUCAGGAACACAGCUCAGCCUGUAAUUACAGCUCACAUCUCACACACUGGGAACCAGCGAAAAGAGGCAGGAAACGAGAGCCCUGCGUGAACUGACUCAGCUCUUUUCUGCGCAGCAGAGCCACAGGAUGUGUGUGUAUGUAGGUGAAUACCAGUGGCACAUCCUCUACUCAGUGUCCACUUACUACAGGGUUAA